rnacentral:rRNA from 1 species
AUUGAACGCUGGCGGCAGGCCUAACACAUGCAAGUCGAGCGGAUGAAGGGAGCUUGCUCCUGGAUUCAGCGGCGGACGGUUGAGUAAUGCCUAGGAGUCUGCCUUGUCUUAGGGGAUAACGUCCUAAUACGGGCGCUAAUACCGCAUACGACCAGUGGUUGAAACUGGGGGUUCUUCGGUCCUCACGCUAACAGAUUAGCAUAGUUGGGAUUCGCUAGUUGGUGGGGUAAAGUCCUACCAAGGCGACGAUCCGUAACUUGUCUGAGAGGAUGAUCAGGCACACGGGAACUGAGAAACGGUCCAGACUCUUACGGGAGGAAGCAGUGGGGAAUAUUGGAGAAUGGGCGAAAGCCGGAUCCAGCCAUGCGGCGUGUGUGAAGAAGGUCUUCGGAUGGUAAAGUAAUUUAAGUUGGGAGAAAGGGAAAUAAGUUAAUACGUUGCUGUAUUGACGUUACCAACAGAAUAAGCACCGGCUAACUUCGUG